UACGUAGGCAGCGAGCGUUGUUCGGAGUUACUGGGCGUAAAGGGUGUGUAGGCGGUUGUUUUAAGUUUGGUGUGAAAUCUCCCGGCUCAACUGGGAGGGUGCGCCGAAUACUGAAUGACUUGGAGUGCGGGAGAGGAGAGUGGAAUUCCUGGUGUAGCGGUGAAAUGCGUAGAUAUCAGGAGGAACACCGGUGGUGUAGACGGCUCUCUGGACCGUAACUGACGCUGAAACACGAAAGCGUGGGUAGCAAACAGG
rnacentral:rRNA from 1 species